rnacentral:rRNA from 1 species
ACUCCUACGGGAGGCAGCAGUAAGGAAUAUUGGUCAAUGGAGGGAACUCUGAACCAGCCAUGCCGCGUGAAGGAUGACGGCCCUCUGGGUUGUAAACUUCUUUUGGAUGGGGCGAAAAAACGGGAUUUAUCCUGGACUGACGGUACCAUCAGAAUAAGCACCGGCUAACUCCGUGCCAGCAGCCGCGGUAAUACGGAGGGUGCAAGCGUUAUCCGGAAUCACUGGGUUUAAAGGGUGCGUAGGCGGUUGUAUAAGUCAGGGGUGAAAGGAUGCAGCUUAACUGUAUAAUUGCCUUUGAUACUGUAUGACUUGAAUAAGGUUGAGGUUGGCGGAAUGUGACAUGUAGCGGUGAAAUGCUUAGAUAUGUCAUGGAACACCGAUUGCGAAGGCAGCUGACUGGGCCUUUAUUGACGCUGAGGCACGAAAGCGUGGGUAGCGAACAGGAUUAGAUACCCUGGUAGUC